rnacentral:rRNA from 1 species
AAGGUGUGAGGAGCAUACAGGAUUAGAUACCCUGGUAGUCCACACUGUAAACGAUGAUUGCUAGGUGUGGGGGGUCUGACCCCUUCCGUGCCGGAGCUAACGCAAUAAGCAAUCCACCUGGGGAGUACGACCGCAAGGUUGAAACUCAAAGGAAUUGACGGGGACCCGCACAAGCAGUGGAUUAUGUGGUUUAAUUCGAAGCAACGCGAAGAACCUUACCAGCACUUGACAUCCAACUAACGAAAUAGAGAUAUAUUAGGUGCCCUUCGGGGAAAGUUGAGACAGGUGGUGCAUGGUUGUCGUCAGCUCGUGUCGUGAGAUGUUGGGUUAAGUCCCGCAACGAGCGCAACCCUCGCCAUUAGUUGCUACGCAAGAGCACUCUAAUGGGACCGCUACCGACAAGGUGGAGGAAGGUGGGGACGACGUCAAAUCAUCAUGCCCCUUAUGUGCUGGGCUACACACGUAAUACAAUGGCCAUCAACAGAGAGAAGCAAUACCGCGAGGUGGAGCAAAACUUCAAAAAUGGUCUCAGUUCGGACUGCAGGCUGCAACCCGCCUGCACGAAGUUGGAAUUGCUAGUAAUCGUGGAUCAGCAUGCCACGGUGAAUACGUUCCCGGGUCUUGUACACACCGCCCGUCACACCAUGGGAGCCGGUAACACCCGAAGUCAGUAGUCUAACCGCAAGGAGGACGCUGCCGAAGGUGGGAUUGGCGACUGGGGUGAAGUCGUAACAAGGUAGCCGUAUCGGAAGGUGCGGCUG